rnacentral:rRNA from 1 species
UACGGGGGGGGCAAGCGUUGUUCGGAAUUACUGGGCGGAAAGGGCUCGUAGGUGGCCAACUAAGUCGGACGUGAAAUCCCUCAGCUUAACUGGGGAACUGCGUCCGAUACUGGAUGGCUCGAGUUUGGGAGAGGGAUGCGGAAUUCCAGGUGUAGCGGUGAAAUGCGUAGAUAUCUGGAGGAACACCGGUGGCGAAGGCGGCAUCCUGGACCAACACUGACACUGAGGAGCGAAAGCCAGGGGAGCAAACGGG